UUUUAAGCAGCCAACAUAACGAACGUCACAUUUAUAAAAUAUAUUAGUAAAUAAGUAAUUUUUUCAUGAGUAAAAGGCAACUGUUAAGCAAACACAUGCAAUGGAAAAACAGGCCAUGGAUGGUCUAAACUGAGGCAGGGUUCCAUCUCCGAGACUUGGCUAUGCAAUGAGGGAACAUGAUAAACGGUUUCCAGGUUUCUUCAAAGGCCUGGCAGAAAACCACAAUUAUGAAGUUAUCCCAAGAUCUUAGCGAAACACGAAGCUGUGAAUUGCUUACAGCCAAGCACUUGAGAAAACAUUUUGGGUUUUAUUUCUAUUUUAAGUUCUUGUUCAAGUCAACGUCAACUAACAACUUUUAAUGCAAAUAAACAUUCACUGGUCAUUUA
rnacentral:lncRNA from 1 species